GGAAACUGGUUGUCGAUACGGUCGCUCGCUUUCACAUAUCCCUGGGGCGUAAAACUACCGUCGAAACAUUGAGUGACCUCAGCGACGUGAUCGUAUGCGUCUUCACUCACGAAUCGAAGGUAAAACGUAACGAUAAUAUUACAUAAUUCCUUGCAAUGAGUGAAUGAAUUUUUAUAUAACAUACAUUCAACAAAAUUUAUAUUUUAGGAGACGUACUAUUUACCAAAAUCAGGCCGAACGAAUCCCGGCGGAAAGAUCUUUAGCAGAAUAAAUUAUAUAAAGCAGUCCGAACGUCAAAGAGCCAAUAAAGAGAAAACGCACACCGCUCCCGAAAUCGAAGGGAACAUCGAAUCUUGUGAGCAAACGGCUGAAGUACAAGCAGCAGUGCAGUGGCUCAGCUUAAAUACAUCCCCUUGGCCAACCGUACUUUCGCUGUGGGAAGUCAGUUUCCCUACGAGGAAGCAAUUUUUGCGGAAAUUUGGUCAUGCGCAGCAGUUGAUCAACGACUAUCCACAGCUGCAAGAAGAGUUUGGAUACCAACUGUUGGAUAUUGAUUUUUGGAAGCUCGGUUUGGGGAACCCGGCAGAAUAUUCCCAAAAGUGGGAGGCACUAUAUGAACCCGUGGCACAAUUCGUAAACAAGAACGGAAAGGACUCUUCGUCGAAGCGCUUGGUGCAAGGUUUAAGAAACACCGCAAAUUCUUCCGAUAUUCGUUUACUGUAUCUUCUUCACGCUUUAAGCACAGUGCUUAUUCCAGUCAAAGCGUCAAAGGGGUUCAAACCCACCGUGUUGGUCGCACAAUCGGACACCUUCAUGCUGGCUGGCAGCAGAGAUUUAGGGC